rnacentral:rRNA from 1 species
AUGGCCGGCCUGCCUCGCCUCGUCGUGCUCCUGCUCCUCGCCAUCGCCGUCCCUGUCGCCCAGCCCACUCCCUACAGCGACAACCUCCAGGAAACGUGCAACAAGACGCUGUUCCCUAAAGUGUGCAUCCAGUCGCUGACGACCAACCCGGAGAGCCGGACAGCGGACGCGCGCCGGCUGGCCGAGCUGUCCGUGUACGUGGCCAAGGAGGUGGGCACCACGGUGGCAGCGUUCGCUCACCACGAGCUCACCGGCGUCAAGGAGGACACCUUGUUCAAGUGCCUCGACGGCUGCUCCGACGACAUUGAGGAGACGGUGGCGCACCUGAGCGCCCUCACCCGCGAGCCCACCUGCGCCAAGUUCCUCGAGAUCAAGUCGUGGCUGUCCGCGACGCUGGGCGGCUCCAACACCUGUGAGGAGACCUGCAAGGACGCGCCCAUCAGCGACGUCAAGAACGCCGUCGUAACCAAGAGCCUCGAGUUCGAGAAGCUGCUCCGCGUCACGCUCGACCUCAUCACCGAGGCGUCUGGCUCCAUGCCCGCCGCCGGCGGCGCGGUGGCACCCACGGCGUGGGAAGGCAGCACUUCAGGAUCCUACGGCGCCAGCGCGCCGGACUCCUACGGUGCCAGCGCGUCGGGCUCCUACGGCUCCAGCGCGUCGGGCUCGUACAGCUCCAGCGCACCUGAGUCGUCCGACAGUGCCAGCGCGUUGGGCUCCUCUGGCUCCAGCGCGUCGGGCUCCUACGGCUCCAGCGCAUCGGCCUCCGAAGCAGCAUCCAGUGAUGCGUCGGCGCCCUCGAGCGCACCUACCUCCGAGGCAUCGUCAGCUGACGCGCCGAGCUCCUACGGCUCCAGCGCAUCGGGCUCCGAAGCACCAUCCGGCGAUGCAUCGGCACCCUCGAACGCACAAACCUCCGACUCACCGUCAGCUGACGCGCCGGCCUCCUCCUACGCUGUGUUUUGA